rnacentral:rRNA from 1 species
GACGAACGCUGGCGGCGUGCCUAAUACAUGCAAGUCGAGCGAGACUCUUCGGAGUCUAGCGGCGGACGGGUGAGUAACACGUGGGCAACCUGCCUGUAAGACUGGGAUAACACCGGGAAACCGGUGCUAAUACCGGAUAAUCCUUUUCCUCUCAUGAGGGGAAGCUGAAAGUCGGUUUCGGCUGACACUUACAGAUGGGCCCGCGGCGCAUUAGCUAGUUAGUGAGGUAACGGCUCACCAAGGCGACGAUGCGUAGCCGACCUGAGAGGGUGGUCGGCCACACUGGGACUGGGACACGGCCCAGACUCCUACGGGAGGCAGCAGUAGGGAAUCUUCCACAAUGGACGAAAGUCUGAUGGAGCAACGCCGCGUGGGCGAUGAAGGCCUUCGGGUCGUAAAGCUCUGUUGUUAGGGAAGAACAAGUACCGGAGUAACUGCCGGUACCUUGACGGUACCUAACCAGAAAGCCACGGCUAACUACGUGCCAGCAGCCGCCGUAAUAC